CUCAAACAACAGGGGUGCCCCAACAGAACGGGCUGAGAUCAUACCCAUAUCACCUGAUCCGGAUAAUGCCGGCGGAGGGAAAGGAAGCAGUACACAU
rnacentral:ncRNA from 2 species